rnacentral:lncRNA from 1 species
UCUUUUUUAGCAGUCAGUGGUGGCUCCGGUAUGGCAACGGCUGGGGGUCGGUGUCCUUCUCUGACUGCUGGUCCUUCUUCUCCGACGAGGGUAGGGCAGCUAGAGUUGGGGUUCCCCAGCGAUACGAUGUUUAUAUACUUAUUUCAUGUCAAUCUGGACUAUUCAUUCAUGUCAACGUAGAGCGAGGAGAGUCGUUAGAUCUUUACCUGUUUAGGUCAAUUA